rnacentral:rRNA from 1 species
CUAUCUUUUGAUAUUAAACUCGGUGGUAUAAGAUGGGUGUGCGUCCGAUUAGGUAGUUGGUGAGGUAACGGCUCACCAAGCCAACGAUCGGUAGCUGGUCUGAGAGGAUGAUCAGCCACACGGGCACUGAGACACGGGCCCGACUCCUACGGGAGGCAGCAGUAGGGAAUAUUGGACAAUGGGCGCAAGCCUGAUCCAGCCAUCCCGCGUGAAGGAUUAAGGCCCUCUGGGUUGUAAACUUCUUUUCUCUGGGGAAUAAAAAGUGGGGGUUCUCCCCUACCUUGAAGGUACCAGAGGAAUAAGCACCGGCUAACUCCGUGCCAGCAGCCGCGGUAAUACGGAGGGUGCAAGCGUUAUCCGGAUUCACUGGGUUUAAAGGGUGCGUAGGUGGCUUUGUAAGUCAGUGGUGAAAGCCCGGAGCUCAACUCCGGAACUGCCAUUGAUACUGCUUAGCUUGAAUCAACUUGAGGUGGAUGGAAUAUUACAUGUAGCGGUGAAAUGCUUAGAUAU